UACGUAGGGUGCAAGCGUUGUCCGGAAUUAUUGGGCGUAAAGAGCUCGUAGGCGGUCUGUCGCGUCUGCUGUGAAAACUCGGGGCUUAACCCCGGGCCUGCAGUGGGUACGGGCAGACUAGAGUGCGGUAGGGGAGACUGGAAUUCCUGGUGUAGCGGUGAAAUGCGCAGAUAUCAGGAGGAACACCGGUGGCGAAGGCGGGUCUCUGGGCCGUGACUGACGCUGAGACGCGAAGGCGUGGGGAGCGAACAGG
rnacentral:rRNA from 1 species